UCCGUAGGUGAACCUGCGGAAGGAUCACUAGUGAUUAAACGGAAAGCGUCUUAACUGACCUUUCCACCCUUCACAUCCACAUACACCCUGUGAACCGUUUGACUCUUUUUUUUCUGUUUCUCUCUCUUCGGGAGAGAAGGAAGGAGACGAAGGAGGGAACGCUUUAGAUUUUCGUCAAAAGAAGUCUAAAGUCGACCUUUGGAGUUUUCCUGAAGGAAAGAGGGGGUCAUCAAUCAUAUACAUACACGAAGUCUAAUGAAUGUAAACGUUUUAUAUAAACAAAAUAAAACUUUCAACAACGGAUCUCUUGGUUCUCGCAUCGAUGAAGAACGCAGCGAAAUGCGAUAAGUAAUGUGAAUUGCAGAAUUCAGUGAAUCAUCGAAUCUUUGAACGCACCUUGCACUCUCUGGUAUUCCGGAGAGUACGCCUGUUUGAGUGUCAUGAAACUCUCACUCCCAACGUUUUCUAACGACGACGAUGGGACGUGGACUUGAGUCGUGCUGGCCUGCGUCUGACGCGGUCGGCUGACUUGAAAAGAAUUAGCUGGAUCCUCUUUGUAAUUGGUUCUACUCGACGUGAUAAGUAUUUCGUCGAGGACAGUCUUAACGGACUGGCCGAGAUAAAAGGAGUAACAUCAUAGAUCCGCUUCUAAUCCGUGCUUUCUCUCUUUUGAGAACACAACUUUUUUAUGAUCUGGCCUCAAAUCAGGUGGGACUACCCGCUGAACUUAAGCAUAUCAAUAAGCGGAGGAAAAGAAACUAACAAGGAUUCCCCUAGUAACGGCGAGUGAAGCGGGAUGAGCUCAAAUUUAAAAUCUGGCAGUCUAAGAUUGUCCGAGUUGUAGUCUAGAGAAGCGUUUUCCGCGUAGGCCUGUGUACAAGUCCCUUGGAAUAGGGCGUCAUAGAGGGUGAGAAUCCCGUCCUUGACACAGAUCAUCUAUGCUUUGCGAUGCGCUCUCGAAGAGUCGAGUUGUUUGGGAAUGCAGCUCAAAAUGGGUGGUAAAUUCCAUCUAAAGCUAAAUAUUGGCGAGAGACCGAUAGCGAACAAGUACCGUGAGGGAAAGAUGAAAAGCACUUUGGAAAGAGAGUUAAACAGUACGUGAAAUUGUUGAAAGGGAAACGCUUGAAGU
rnacentral:sRNA from 1 species